AGCACCCAAGCGGCGCAAGGACAAUCAUCGAGGUCGGUGGACUCGGCCUCGUUGUGCACGUCAUCGGACUAGUUUUCAAGGAGGAGGCGCAACAGAAUGCCGCAAGCCAUCGUAUUCCACCUCUUGUCGAUAGAGGAAUACCGCGCGGAAAUCGGGGAUUUGCCAGAGGUGAUUCCCUUUCUGGUGGAGUUGAUGAGUGAAGGAUCUUAAAGAAGAACGCCGUCGUUACAAAUUUUCAGUGUAUUUUGGAAGCAGGGGCGGUGCCACCACUAAUGGCUCUUCUCUCCGGCCAAGAAUAGGAGGCCUUGCUAACGAAGAUGGCGGUGCUCGCAAAGGUCGCCGAGCAACACCGUCUCCUCUCCUUCCCUCUCCGCAGCAAAAAAGAAAAUCUCUGUUCAAAGAAUCUAAAAAGGAAAAAUCUAGGAAUGCCAUUUAUAGAUGUUGGAAGGGCUCUUGGUGAGAGAUGGAAAAAAAUUACCGGUGAGGCUUUGCAUAGGAAGGUCUCAAUUCUUUUUGGCAUUUUUAGAGUUUUUAUUUUACAAAACUGUGUUAGUUUUAAAAUUUAAUAUUUUGAAUGUAUUUUAUUAGUGUUUAUCAUUAUUUUAUUUGUAAAUUUAACUCAAAUACUUGCCAGAUGAAUACAAAUUAUCUAUUAUUGAUUUAAA